UACGUAGGGGGCUAGCGUUGUCCGGAAUCAUUGGGCGUAAAGAGCGUGUAGGCGGUCCGGUAAGUCCGCUGUGAAAGUCAAAGGCUCAACCUUUGAAAGCCGGUGGAUACUGCAUGGCUAGAGUACGGAAGAGGCGAGUGGAAUUCCUGGUGUAGCGGUGGAAUGCGCAGAUAUCAGGAGGAACACCAAUAGCGAAGGCAGCUCGCUGGGACGUCACUGACACUGAGGCGCGAAAGCGUGGGGAGCGAACAGG
rnacentral:rRNA from 1 species